ACAACGAGGGCCUCCUGCAGGUGGAAGGUGGGGAGCUGAAAGCCAGCCUGCAGAGCCCUCACCAGGGCUGAGUCUGGAAGCAACUAUGGCUUCAGGGAAUGCUACGGAAGCCAGAAAGUUCUCCACGGUGGCAUUGAAAGAGACCCUCUUCUCCUAUAACCAGAAAGCAGAUGGUGCUGAAAAUCAGGCCCAAUAGCUGAGCAGAAGAGCGACAGAUCCCAGAGAAGACUGCUGUAUAGCCAUGGAGCCAGGAUGAAAGCUGGAGCCUCUGCACGGUCCAAGCAGGGAGGCGACGGCUCGCGUCACCGUGGGUCCUGGCUGACAGGCUCUGGACACAACAAGAAGUCGGCGUCUAUACCUGGAGGAGGGCCCUCACCAGGCCCCAACACGCCGGCACCAUCAUCUCAGACCUGCGGCC